AUGUUCCAGGAGCUUGCACCACACGACCCACACGACAAGUGUGGUCACCACUAUGCGAUCUGCCUUGACCUGAAGAACCAACAUUUUGAGGUGCUUGAUUCAAUGCGUUCAGAAGCUGAUGCAGACCUUACUACGCAUGCUGAAUACUUCAUCAACAACCUCAAAGAGACAUGGAACUGUCACUAUGAAAACUCAAAGGUCCAGAUCAGACAUUUUCCAAUUGAGUACAUGGCGACUACGAAGCAAGGAAACCGGCACGACUGUGGCUUCCACACGUUGGAAUACCUUGCAAAGUGGGAAGGUCGACGGGUUCCUGUCGUCACAGCUGCAAUGGUCGUCGAGCUCCGCAAAAUUUACACAUGA
rnacentral:rRNA from 1 species